rnacentral:rRNA from 1 species
GGGAAACAGCCCAGAUUGUUUAUUAAGGUCUUUAAAUUUUUUCUUAUAAAAAAUAAGAUAUUAAAUGAAUAUAACUAAGAGUUAGGUUCAGAAGCAGCCAUUCUUUAAAGAAAGCGUAAAAGCUCAUUAGUUUAAUUUAGUAUUUUUUACGAUGUAUAGAGAUUUAAAAGAAAAAUACCGAAAUAGCAAAUUAAAUUUUAUUUUAAAAAUUUAAUAGUAACAGAACGUUCUGUAUGCAAAAAGAUAAAUUGAAAAAUUUAUUAAUGUAUCAGAAGUGAUAAUACUGGUAUGAGUAAUAUAAAUAAUAUUAAAUAGGUAAUUAAAUAUUAUCGUCGAAAAUUUAAGGUUUUUAAUUUAUAAUUGUUAAACAAAAUUAAGUAAUACGGUUUCUAAAAAUUUAAGUGAAAACUUAGUUUGAUGAAUAUUAUAUUCAGAAACUUUUAAAUUUAUAGUUAAUACAAAAUUAUAUUUAAAAUUCAAAAUAUCUGGAUUAGAAAACCGUACUUAAAACCAACAAUGGUAAAUGGGUAGAGUAUACUAAGACGAAAAAGUGAAUCAUAGUGAAGGAACUCGGCAAAUUAACCUUGUAACUUCGGAAUAAAAGGUUUUUAUUAAGUGUAUUUUAAUUAAUAAAAAAAUAGAAAAGGGGGUAGCGACUGUUUAAUAAAAACACAGGACUUUGCAAAAUUGUAAAAUGAUGUAUAAGGUCUGACACCUGCCAGGAACUGUGUAGUUAAAAUUGGAGAGAAUUUAUUUUCAAUCUAAGCAGCAGUAAUCGGCGGCCAUAACUCUGAUGGUCCUAAGGUAGCGAAAUUCCUUGUCAACUAAUUAUUGACGUGCAUGAAUGGUGUAACGACUUCCCCACUGUCUCCACUAUGAGCUUUGUGAAAUUGAAAUAUUUGUGAAGAUGCGAAUUAUAUAUGGUUAGACGGGAAGACCCCGUGCACCUUUACUACAUUUUUUAAUUGAUUAUUUUUAUAAAAGUGUGUAGCAUAAGUGGGAGUUUAAAUUCAGUUUUAAAUAAUAAUGAAAUACCACUCGUUUUAUAAUUAAUAGCUAAUUUAUUAAAAAAUAAUAAAGACAUAUUAAAGAUUGGUAGUUUAACUGGGGUGGUUUUCUCCAAAAAAGUAACGGAGAAAUAUAAAGGUAAAUUAAUAGUUAUUGUUGUGAUAAUUAUUUAUGUGUAAUGGCUUAAAUUUGCUUGACUGUAAGAUUGACAAAUCAAACAGAAACGAAAGUUGAUCAUAGUGACCCGGUAAUUCUUUAUGGAAAGGUUAUCGAUCAAUGGAUAAAAGGUACGCCGGGGAUAACAGGCUUAUAAUUCUCUAGAGUUCAUAUCGACGGAAUUGUUUGGCACCUCGAUGUCGGCUCAUCACAUCCUAGAGCUGAAGAAGGUUCUAAGGGUUUGGCUGUUCGCCAAUUAAAGUGGUACGCGAGCUGGGUUUAAAACGUCGUGAGACAGUUUUGUCCCUAUCUGCCAUAUACAAACGAAAAAAUUAAAUUAAUAAUUCUAGUACGAGAGGACCGAAUUAGAUUGAUCAAUGGUAUAUAAAUUAUUUCUUUUUGAAGUAUUGUUUAGUAGCUAAAUCAAUAAAAGAUAAAUACUGAAUAAAUAUAAGUAUGAAACUUUAUUUAACUUU